rnacentral:lncRNA from 1 species
CUUGGUCAACGUUUUUUUUUUUAACUUUCAAGUUUGAAGCACAGCGUCAAUGGCGGUAUAAAGGAGGGGAAAAAACAGAGUACACAUAUCUCAGAUUCAACAGAAGGUAGCAUCUAAGUUCUCGAAGGUAAAAAGAAAACAGAAAACGAAGUAAAAAGAAAACAGAAAAAGAAGAAGUCUCUAAGAUUCGAGCAAUAUUUUGCAGGAGGCAAAACCAGAACAAGUUCCAAGGAG